rnacentral:rRNA from 1 species
AUUACCGAGUUUACAACUCCCAAUCCCAAUGUGAACGUUACCAAACUGUUGCCUCGGCGGGAUCUUCUGCCCCGGGUGCGUCGCAGCCCCGGACCAAGGCGCCCGCCGGAGGAAUCAACCAAAACUCUUAUUGUAUACCCCUCGCGGGUUUUUUUAUAAUCUGAGCCUUCUCGGCGCCUCUCGUAGGCGUUUCGAAAAUGAAUCAAAACUUUCAACAACGGAUCUCUUGGUUCUGGCAUCGAUGAAGAACGCAGCGAAAUGCGAUAAGUAAUGUGAAUUGCAGAAUUCAGUGAAUCAUCGAAUCUUUGAACGCACAUUGCGCCCGCCAGUAUUCUGGCGGGCAUGCCUGUCCGAGCGUCAUUUCAACCCUCGAACCCCUCCGGGGGGUCGGCGUUGGGGAUCGGCCUUCCUUCACGGGGGCCGUCUCCGAAAUACAGUGGCGGUCUCGCCGCAGCCUCUCCUGCGCAGUAGUUUGCACACUCGCAUCGGGAGCGCGGCGCGUCCACAGCCGUUAAACACCCAACUUCUGAAAUGUUGACCUCGGAUCAGGUAGGAAUACCCGCUGAACUUAAGCAUAUCAAUAAGCGGAGGAAAAGAAACCAACAGGGAUUGCCCCAGUAACGGCGAGUGAAGCGUUAACAGCUCAAAUUUGAAAUCUGGCCCCUAGGGUCCGAGUUGUAAUUUGUAGAGGAUGCUUUUGGUGAGGUGCCGCCCGAGUUCCCUGGAACGGGACGCCACAGAGGGUGAGA